GUCUACUCUUGGACAGCCUUCUGAAAGGAAGAUUAAUACCUGAUAGUAUGGUGAGAUUGCAUGAUAGCACCAUUAAAGAUUUAUUGGUAAACGAUGGGAUGCGUUCCAUUAGGUAGUAGGCGGGGUAACGGCCCACCUAGCCGACGAUGGAUAGGGGUUCUGAGAGGAAGGUCCCCCACAUUGGAACUGAGACACGGUCCAAACUCCUACGGGAGGCAGCAGUGAGGAAUAUUGGUCAAUGGGCGAGAGCCUGAACCAGCCAAGUAGCGUGAAGGAUGAAGGUCCUACGGAUUGUAAACUUCUUUUAUACGGGAAUAAAGUAUCCUACGUGUAGGAUUUUGUAUGUACCGUAUGAAUAAGCAUCGGCUAACUCCGUG
rnacentral:rRNA from 1 species